UUAUUUCUAAAAAGAAAUAUUUCUAGAAUAUUAACUUAAUGGAUUAAAUUAAAAUUUAGAAAUUACCCAAAAAAAAAAGCCCUUUUCCUUUUUCUUUUUUUUUUCGGCUUGGGCCUCAGUUGGCCUGCUUCACUGCUGCAAUCGGGCCUGCUGGAGCUGCUGGGGUGUUGGGCCUGCGCCGGAUCGGGUCCACUGGUGGUGGGCUGCUAGUGGCCUGCCAAAAAAUGGGCUGCUGUUUUUAUUUUUUUAUUAUUACUUUUUUAUUUUCUUUUUUCUUUAUUUUUCACUCUUUUUCUUUCUUCUUUCUUCUUGUUCCUUUUUUUUCUUUCAAGCCCUAGCCGCCACCAUUGGUGGCUCCUUGCUCCGUUCGGUGGUGUGUCGGCCGACGUUCCCUCCUCGUGCCUUCUAUUCUUUUCUUCCUUCCUCCUUUUCUUCUUUUCCUUUUCUCUUCUCUUUCCCCUUUCUCCCCUUCCCUUUCCUCUAUUUUCUUUCUCUUCUAUUUCUUUUCUCGGCAACCCCAAGGUUGAAAGCGCCGCCGCCGAUCGCCCUUGGCUCUUCCCCUCCCUCGGUGGCUCACGAAGAAGGCCAAAAAUUUCUUACUAUUUUUAUUUUUUUGCUGUUGUUUUUACUGUCUCUUUCUUGCUUUUUGGUUGCUUGUUACUUGUUGUGUUUGAUUUGUUGUAGGUGCCGGCGGUGGAGCGACACUGGUGGUGGUGCAACGAUGGCGGUGGCAGAGGAGCCAUCAUGGCCUAGGGAGGCUGCUGGAGUAGCUCGGCUGGGAGGGGUACGCUCGGCUGCUGAUUGCGGCGAUUAGACAAGUGCAGGAGGACCAAAUUGCAGAGGAUGCAAAGCUUCUGGGGCAAAAGUGCAAUUUUAGCAAAAAUAUGGGCCAAAAUGUAAUUUUUGGAAAGUUUAGGGCCUUGAACGUAAUUUACAAAAUAUUAGGGGUCAAAAUGCAAAUUUGGAAAAAUUUAGGGGUCAAAAUGUAAUUUUUGAAGAAUUCAGGGACUAAAACGUAAUUUAUCUUGUAUUUUUAUUUA